rnacentral:pre_miRNA from 1 species
GAGCUGACCUGAGCCAAAGCCCAUAGAAGUCACUGGAAGUUUUCCAUUGACCUCAAUGGGCUUUGGAUCAGGUCCUUAAUC